rnacentral:lncRNA from 1 species
UUAAACACACUAAUAUGAAUUGACAACGCCAAAGUCUGUUGUGAACAUCAUCCAAAAUGGAACUGGUAUUCGAUCACUACUGUGAGAAUCCUCAUAGGCAUUUUAUUGCCAUAUGAAAACAAGAGGAUAAAACAGAACUUAAAAAAUAGUAAUAGUGACAGAAAGAAAAGGUAACACCAACCUUGCUCAAUUUUUCAUUGUACACAAUUCUUAUAACAACUUUAAGGGAAAUGGUAACACAUAGAUUCUACAAUGACCAAAGGAGAUAAUUGUACAUAUAUAUAUAUAUAUAUAUAUAUAUGUAUGUCUUCUAAAUUGUAAUCAACCUUUCUGCAUUACUUACAUCUACUAAGGAAGCCGCAUAAACCAAACCCUCAAGAGGUAGGCAAUCCACAUCAAUGCAGGAUAAUUUUCAGAUGCAAGAAAACAGAGUAAAUAAGGAGUAACUAACCAGUAGUGUGAUACAAAGAGCAAUGGAGGACUAAUCAUCUAACCGAAGCAAAGUCUCUUGAUAUUGAAUCAUCUUAAGAUCAAAGCCCUCAACCAUAUACAUGCCACACUUGUCCUCUUCUUUGUGAAGAAUCUUUAUCCACCCUUUCACGUCGGCAUAAUUACAAUCGUCAACCUUCGUUAUAGUGUAUAUGUGGGCAACAAUACUAGUUUCCAAAACCAAUACACUUCCGUAACCCCAAAGCCCCUCUGGCGGAUUUGAAAACAAGUUAAAGAGCUUAGUCCAUGAGUCAAGCACACCAUAUUCCUUCAUGACCCAUACACACAAACAGUCACGAUCAGCUUUCGUAGAAUAAGCAAAAGACAGGCAACCAUCAGCAGAAACCCCUAAAUUUCCCCACUGAUUUAAACCGCGUUCAUCGAAUUUAGGCAGUGCCAUUUUUCUGAACUUCUCCUGUGCCAAAUCAAAAACCAUGAGGCCGUUGUCGUGAUCAAUCCAAUGAAGUGCCUCAUUCAAAAGGGUCCCCCGAGGAGAAUAAAGACAUGAUUCCGGAAUCGCCUCAAGUCGUUUCCAUGUUUGAGCUCUCGACGAGAAAAUGCCGUACCGAGUCUGAUCGGAGGCUAUAAAAACUUUGUAUUCGUUGGUGGCCGACAAAUAGCCAACACCAGAACGGAAACAAUAUUGUUGAUCACAUAAAUCACCUGGGUCAGGUAAUUCGUUAUAGAAUCCAGUGGAUGGGUUCCAGGCAUAGAAUACUUUCUUAUCAAAUGCGAGAAAAACAAUACCGUUAGAGGAGCCCAGUAGCAGGUCAUUACCGGCCGGUGGCCGGAAAGGAUACUUUAGCCUUCUAACGGAGGAACUGUAUCCAAACGACGUCGUCUCCAAAAGCAGGGAUUCGAGGCGAGUGGAAAUUGUGGAGUCGCGGACUCGGCGAUUGAGUGGAUGGAUGGUUGUGUUGUAGAGGAGUCUGCGAUCGAGGGUUUUGCGGUCACGAGCUGUUUCAAAUUGGGAUUUGGCAAAUUUGGGGUCGGAGAGAAUGAUGGAAUGGAAGCGUUUGGAAACGCAGGUGAAUCGGAUUAAGGAUUUCACGGGAAGCAAGCGGAGGAUAAGCACCAUGACAUCUUCGGGUAGGGUCGCGUCCGCCAUUACAGUGUCACUGUUUGGAAACGAUGAACUAGGUUUUGAGCAGUGAGGGAGACUCAAGAGUGUGAUAGGUCGACUGACCGAGUUACCUGUAUGUAGGAAAUGUUGCGGGCGUUAUCCACAGGGCCCGAGCCCAAUUUUUGGGCCUUAAUUAGAUCCAGAUAGAAGAUGGCCCGGUACGUAGAAGAGGGUGAGUUGUCUAGAUAGUAUAAGUAAAAGAGAAAAUGUGAAGUAUACUUUUUACUUUUUUAGGAGUUGCCGGAUUGCAUAGUACACACUGGCCAAUCUUUCUUAAAUCUUUGUGGUAAAAUUAAACUACCAAAUUUAAUUCGAAGAGUAAACAUUACUUUCAAAAAGAAGGGGAAUCAAAGCCAUUUCAUCUUCCAUGUUAAGAAGCGAGAGCCAUGCAAUCGAACCAUUUGAUGGAGUACAUGCAAUUGGCUUUGCAUCCAGGUGAUCAAAAAGAUUGAUGCUUAUGAAGUAUCCAAAACUGAUCCAAACCAGAUUGUUGAAUACUACAAGAAUUUUGUUUUGGCCAACCAAGCCAUCAUGUCAUGGUCAGCAUCAACAUUUGAAGACCCGGGCAGAAUCAAACCAGAUGAUCCAAAUAGCGAAGGAAAUCCAACAAGAGAGAGAACACCUCUAGUACUAACAACAGCCUUCAAUUAGACAAAAUACAGCUAGCUUCCAAUAAGCCGUUCCACACCACUACUAGAUCAAAGAAUCCUCCCAUAGAGCCCUACAAAUUCAAAGAAAGAAUACAGUUAAAUCUCUAUCAAACAAAUAGGGAUGCGAAAUCCACACACCAUUUUUCCUUUUUUGGUUUACACAUUCAUAAAAAGACAAAGUUUAAGUCACUAAAAGACAAAAUUUAAGUCACCAAAAAACGAAAAUUGUGUGUGAAUUUCAAUUUGCGGUGUGUGGAUUUCACACAUUAAUCCCAUCAGAUUUUGCCCCUCUACAUCAAUUGAAGUGUAAUGCAGAAUAAUUGGCAAAUUUCCUAAGAAUACAAGUAUGCAUGAAAGCAGAGUUAAAAAGAGAACUAACCAGCUCUGUUAUCCAGAGAGCAAUCGAGGACUAAUCCUCUAUCCGAAGUAGACUCUUGAUAUUGAAUCAUGUGAAGCCAAUGGCCCUCAGCUUCAUACAUGCUACACUUGUCUUCUUCAUUUUGAAGAAUCUUUACCAAGCCACUCACAAUCAUCAACUCACUACGAAUCACAUUCCUCCUUUGAAAAAAUAUCUGGGCGACCAUACUAGUUUCCAGGUACUGCGUACAUUCCAGAACACACCAGUUUCCAGAACCAAAACAUGGUUGUACUUCCAUCCAAUGUCGUCAUUAUGGGGGUCUGAAAACUUCAAGUUAAAGCGCUUAGUCCACGAUUCAAGCACACCAUAUUCUCCCAUCACCCAUAUAUCAAUGCAAUCACCGCAAACAUAUAGAUUACGAGCUAGAGACAGGUAUCCUCCAGCAGAAACUCCAAGAUGAUUCUCAUAGUAGUCACCUCCGCCAUCAUUGAAAUCCAGCGGUAGCAACAUUUUUCUAAACUUGUGCUUCUCCUGACCCAAAUCGAAAGCCACGAUUUCUUUUGAAGUAUCAAGCCAAUGAAGUGCCUCAUUCAAAAGAAUCCCCUGAUUAGAGCAAAAACAGGACUCGUCGAAAUCGACCUCGAGUGUUUUCCAAGUUUAGCUCUGGACGAGAACAUGGCGACCUCCUUGUCAUUCUCAUAGUCAGCGGAGACAACGAAAACUCUGUAGUCAUCGGUGGCCGACAAAUAGCCGACGCCAUAAAGGAUGAGCUCAUUACCAUUUCGGGAAAAACCCGGGUCAGGUAAUUUCUUGAAGAAACCAGUUGAAGGGUUCCACGUAUAGAUUAUAUUGUCAUCAAAAAAGCAAGAAAUACAAUACCGUUGCAGGAGCCCAGCGGCAAGGCAUAACUAUCUGCUGGAUCCAAAGGCAAUUUGUGCUUUCUAAGAGAGGAACAAUCAUCAAACGACGGCGAGUCCAAGUCUAGGGAUUCGAGUUCAGGGACGGUGGGGGAGUAGAGGAGUCUCUGAGUUAAGGUUUUGCGGUCAUGGGCUGCUCGUAAUUGGGAUUUUGCGAAUUUGGGGUCGGAGAGAAUGAUGGAACGGAAGCGUUUCGAAACGCAGGUGAAUCGGAUUAAGGAUUUCACGGGCAACCAAGUGAGGAUGAGCACUAUCAACUCUACGGGUAGGGUCGUUUCCGCCAUUGCAAUAUCACUGUUUGGAAACGAAGGGACGAACUAUGGUUUGAGUAGAGCAGUGAGCG